UGGUGUAGGAGAAUCGGGCGGAGGUCUCCGUGCAUUCGGCCGGCGAAAAAGGCGAGGGUUGACCGUUUUGAAGGGGGUUGACCACCGAAUUGUUUCAAUGGAUUUUUUGAUGAUUGAAUCGUUGUUUCAGAUGGGGCCUUAAAUAUCAUAAAAAUGUAAGCGAUUGUGUUAAAAGGGCAUUAUGAUAUCAAGGAAAGAGGAAUGGAAUGAGAAUUUCAUAGCUUAUGCUUACCCAAUCGUGACAUGCAACAAGGAAAUGAUCAGAUCCAGAAGUUCUAUUCCAGAAACUGUAUCUUCCAGAAAUUAAAUCAAGGUAUUUCUUCAAAUACUGAAUUAAGUUUUUGUGAGUAUGAGAAUCAACAACGUAUAAUUUUUCUUCCAACAUUCUUGAGCUAAAAGGUAAGUAGAAAAGAUGAGCUUCUUUUGGUUUUUUAGUGACGAAAUGUUUGCUUGCUUUCAUGUGUUUCAUAAACCAUCCUUCAGAUGCGUAUAUUCCUUUUAGCACUGCUUGUGGUUGAUGAAAUAUAGGCUUUUCUCCCUCCUUGUAUAUGUAUACCUUGAGUGUUUUUUCCAUUAAUUCAUAGCUCCUGAAUUUAAUAUUAAUAAUAAUAAUAAUAUGAUAAUUGUAAUAA